UACGAAGGGGGCUAGCGUUGUUCGGAAUUACUGGGCGUAAAGCGCGCGCAGGCGGCUAUCCAAGUCAGUGGUGAAAGCCCGGAGCUCAACUCCGGAACUGCCAUUGAAACUGUUUAGCUUGAGGAUGAGAGAGGUGAGUGGAAUUCCCAGUGUAGAGGUGAAAUUCGUAGAUAUUCGCAAGAACACCAGUGGCGAAGGCGGCUGUCUGGUCCGGUUCUGACGCUGAGGCGCGAAAGCGUGGGGAGCAAACAGG
rnacentral:rRNA from 1 species